GCACAAGCGGUGGAGUAUGUGGUUUAAUUCGAUGCAACGCGAAGAACCUUACCUGGUCUUGACAUCCCGGAGACCCUUAGGAAACUAGGGGGUGCUUCCAUCUGGAAGAAUCUGGAGACAGGUGCUGCAUGGCUGUCGUCAGCUCGUGUCGUGAGAUGUUGGGUUAAGUCCCGCAACGAGCGCAACCCUUGCCUUUAGUUGCCAGCAGUUCGGCUGGGCACUCUAAAGGGACUGCCGGUGUUAAACCGGAGGAAGGUGGGGAUGACGUCAAGUCCUCAUGGCCUUUAUGACCAGGGCUACACACGUACUACAAUGGCCGAUGCAAAGGGCAGCGACACUGCGAGGUGAAGCCAAUCCCGUAAAAUCGGUCUCAGUCCGGAUUGGAGUCUGCAACUCGACUCCAUGAAGUUGGAAUCGCUAGUAAUCGUGGAUCAGCAUGCCACGGUGAAUACGUUCCCGGGCCUU
rnacentral:rRNA from 1 species